GACGAACCGAGCGAACGUUGUUCGGAAUCACUGGGCUUAAAGAGCUCGUAGGCGGUCUGUCGCGUCUGCCGUGAAAACCCGAGGCUUAACCUCGGGCUGGCGGUGGAUACGGGCAGACUAGAGGUAGGUAGGGGAGAAUGGAAUUCCCGGUGUAGCGGUGAAAUGCGCAGAUAUCAGGAGGAACACCGGUGGCGAAGGCGGGUCUCUGGGAAACAACUGACGCUGAGGAACGAAAGCGUGGGUAGCAAACAGG
rnacentral:rRNA from 1 species